rnacentral:rRNA from 1 species
UACAGAGGGUUCAAGCGUUGUUCGGAAUUAUUGGGCGUAAAGCGCGUGUAGGCGGGAUGGCAAGUCAGGUGUGCAAGCCCUCGGCUCAACCGAGGAAGUGCGCCUGAAACUACCGUUCUUGAGUGCCGGAGAGGGUGGCGGAAUUCCCGGUGUAGAGGUGAAAUGCGUAGAUAUCGGGAGGAACACCAGUGGCGAAGGCGGCCACCUGGACGGACACUGACGCUGAGACGCGAAAGCGUGGGGAGCAAACAGG